rnacentral:rRNA from 1 species
GACGGAGGGUGCUAGCGUUGUUCGGAAUCACUGGGCGUAAAGGGCGCGUAGGCGGCCAUUCAAGUCGAGUGUGAAAGCCCGGGGCUCAACCUCGGAACUGCAUUCGAUACUGGAUGGCUUGAGGCCGGAAGAGGAGAGUGGAAUACCCAGUGUAGAGGUGAAAUUCGUAGAUAUUGGGUGGAACACCAGUGGCGAAAGCGGCUCUCUGGUCCGGUCCUGACGCUGAGGCGCGAAAGCGUGGGUAGCAAACAGG